UUUAAGCUAAAGAGCUUUUGCAUGGCAAAAGAAACUAUCAUCAGAGUUAAUUGACAACCUACAGAAUGGGAGAAAAAUUUUGCAAUGUAUCCAUCUGACAAAAGUCUAAUAUCCAGAUUCUACAAGAAACUUAAACUAAUUUAUAAAACAAACAAAAAAGCCAUCGAAAGUGGGUAAAGGACAUGAACAGACACUUCUCAAAGGAAGGCAUUCAUGUAGCCAAAAAACAUAUGCCAAAAAGCUCAAAAUCACUGAUCGUUAGGAAAAGGCAAAUCAAAACCACAAUGAGAUAUUGUCUCAUGCCAGUCAGAAUGGUGAUAAUUAAAAAGUCAAGAAACAACAGAUGCUGGCGAGGCUGCCAAGAAAUAGGAACACUUUUACACUGUUGGUGGGAAUGUAAAUUAGUUCAAACACUGUGGAAGACAGUGUGGCAAUUUCUCAAAGAUCUGGAAGAAGAAAUGCCAUCUGAUCCAGCAAUUUCAUUACUAGGUAAUAUACUAGGUAUAUUACCAAAGAAUACAAGUUAUUCUAGUAUAAAGAUACAUGCAUGCAUAUGUUCACUGCAGCACUGUUGACAAUAGCAAAGACAUGGAACCAACCUAAAUGUCCAUCAACAGUAGACUGGAUAAAUAAAAAUGUGUAACAUAUAUAGCACGAAAUACUAUGCAGCCAUAAAAAAGGAACAAGACCAUGUCUUUUGCAGGGGCAUGGAUGGAGCUGGAAGCCAUUAUCCUCAGCAAACUAACGCAAGAACAGAAAGCCAAACGCUGCAUGUUCUCACUUAUAAGUGGGAGAUGAAUGAUGAGAACACAUGGACACGUGGGGGACCAACACACACUGGGGCCUGUUGAGGAUAGGGGAAGGGAAAGCAUCAGGAAGAACAGCUAAUGGUUACUGGGAUUAAUACCUGAGUGAUGGGUCUAUCUGUGCAGCAAACUACCAUGGCACAUGUUUACCUGUGUAACAAACCUGCACAUCCUGCAAGUGUACCCUGGAACCUAAAAUAAAAAUUGAUAAAAUUUUAAAAAAGAAAGACAAUUAUUUUUUAUAGAACCCAUGAUCUUAUACUUAGAAAACCCUAACAAAUUAAUA
rnacentral:lncRNA from 10 species